rnacentral:rRNA from 1 species
AUGGCAGGGGUGGUCGGCGGCCGUGAUGUGGUGGUGGUGAUGCGGCUGGCGUUCUCGCUGCUCUGGUGCGAAGUGGCGGGGCUCCGGGCGGAUCUGGCCAGGGCGUGGAGGCGUUGGUGCUGUGGUGGUGGCAGAUCGGUUGCGGCGGCGGUUGGCUUUUCCGGCGUUGGCUCGUCUGUAGGCGGUCUGUGUCGGUCUUCAACUCCUUUCCUCGUCGCCUGGGCGCUACACUUUCGUCGAAGGGUCGGCCAUCUCCCGGCUAUGGUCCAUCGCUCCUCUCGCACCGGGUGCCGCAGGACGGGUCAAUGGAGGCAUGUUUUGGCCAACCUAUUGGGUCUCAGCACUGGGGGCCGCCCGGGUGCGAAAAGGCGGGUCCUAGUGGUGGUUCCGCGGUGCUCAUGGGCAGAGCCCGCGGUUUGGUAG